GAUGAACGCUGGCGGCGUGCUUAAUACAUGCAAGUCGAGCGGCAGCAUGACCUUUUAGGUUGAUGGCGAGCGGCGGACGGCUGAGUAACGCGUAGGAAUAUACCCCAAAGUGAGGGAUAACUGCCCGAAAGGGGGGCUAAUACAGCAUGUGGUCUUUAUGAUUAAAGGAUUUAUCCGCUUUGGGAAUAGCCUGCGUUCGAUUAGCUUGUUGGUGGGGUAACGGCCCACCAAGGCAACGACGGGUAGCCGGCCUGAGAGGGUGACCGGCCACACUGGGACUGAGACACGGCCCAGACUCCUACGGGAGGCAGCAGUGGGGAAUAUUGGACAAUGGGCGAAAGCCUGAUCCAGCAACGCCGCGUGAGGGAUGACGGCCUUCGGGUUGUAAACCUCUUUCAGCAGGGACGAAGCGCAAGUGACGGUACCUGCAGAAGAAGCACCGGCCAACUACGUGCCAGCAGCCGCCGUAA
rnacentral:rRNA from 1 species